CGUGCACAGUGGUUUCUGAGGGCCUUCCAGCUGCUGCUCCGUGGACCAGCAGGUACUCCUCUCUCCGCCCCACAGUGAGAACCCCCUGCCCACGGUGGAGAUCGCCAUCCGGAACACAGGCGAUGCUGACCAGUGGUGUCCGCUGCUGGAGACUCUGACGGACGCUGAGAUGGAAAAGAAGAUCCGUGACCAGGACAGGAACACAAGGCGGAUGAGGCGUCUGGCCAACACUGCCCCAGCCUGGUAACCAGCCUACCGGCACUUAGCUCCCACGGAGCAUUCAGAAGGUCAGCCCGCCUUUCCUUCAUCUUCUGGCAAGGGGGUAGCCCAGGGUUGUCCUGAGGAGCACGGGGCAGGGGGCCGUCCAGGUCACCCAUCCCCGGGCACACAUCCCAUUUGCUGAGCCCCAGUCCCCACCACCCUGGUCUCUGGUCAGGGAGAGGCCUUGUUUGGGGUUGUGGUUUUGUAUAGGAGCCCCAGGCAGGGCUAGCAAGACUUGGUCAAAAAAAGGCAACAGGUCAUGUUCCAUUUCUUCC